rnacentral:rRNA from 1 species
CGGUGGAGUAUGUGGUUUAAUUCGAUGCAACGCAAAGAACCUUACCUGGUCUUGACAUCCCGGAGACCCUUAGGAAACUAGGGGGUGGCUUCCAUCUGGAAGAAUCUGGAGACAGGUGCUGCAUGGCUGUCGUCAGCUCGUGUCGUGAGAUGUUGGGUUGAGUCCCGCAACGAGCGCAACCCUUGCCUUUAGUUGCCAGCAGUUCGGCUGGGCACUCUAAAGGGACUGCCGGUGUUAAACCGGAGGAAGGUGGGGAUGACGUCAAGUCCUCAUGGCCUUUAUGACCAGGGCUACACACGUACUACAAUGGCCGAUACAAAGGGCAGCGACACUGCGAGGUGAAGCCAAUCCCGUAAAAUCGGUCUCAGUCCGGAUUGGAGUCUGCAACUCGACUCCAUGAAGUUGGAAUCGCUAGUAAUCGUGGAUCAGCAUGCCACGGUGAAUACGUUCCCGGGCCUU